rnacentral:rRNA from 1 species
GGGGAUGACGUCAAAUCAUCAUGCCCCUUAGUGACCUGGGCUACACACGUGCUACAAUGGUUGGUACAACGAGUUGCGAGUCGGUGACGGCGAGCUAAUCUCUUAAAGCCAAUCUCAGUUCGGAUUGGUAGGCUGCAACUCGCCUACAUGAAGUCGGAAUCGCUAGUAAUCGCGGAUCAGCACGCCGCGGUCGAAUACGUUCCCGGGCCUU